UGUGGGAGCUGGCUUGCCUGCGAUAGCGGUGUUUCAGUUAGCCCAUCUGGCACUGAUACACCGCUAUCGCAGGCAAGCCAGCUCCCACA
rnacentral:misc_RNA from 1 species